ACUGUACCUCCGUUGAUAUCUUACUUGUACAUACGUAUUUUACUCAAAUUAUUGGUAACAGCUUGCUAUUUUUUUACAAAUAGCGACAUAAUUUAUAAAAAGCUUUAAAAAUGUAGUCCCUCGUUUAUUGCAUUUUGGUACACUCUUAGAAAUGGGGUUACGAUUAUAACUAAAAAAAUAAACGCAUGUGGCUCUACGGCCGUGGUUAUAAAUUUGUUAUCAAAUGGUUAAGAGUGUGCAUAGAUAUUAAGUGCUUUACGGUCAAAUGUUAAUUUAUUACCUGCUCAUUGCCAACGUACACCUGCGUGAAUCUAUUGCAAUCAGGCUGCAAUAAUCAGACCGGUUUCAAAUGCUGCGACAACGCCACUUGUGUGGCGGGAGUUUGUCUGGUUCCCACCCCUCCACCUUGCCCAAUUGUUUCAAUCGGACAAUCCUGCUCUGCUGGAAGUGCUUGUUGUGGACUGGGAUCUCGCUGUUCUGGAGGAAUUUGUGUGCCUUGUAUCCGAAUCGGGACACAAUUGACUUGUACCUCCAACUCGCACACUCAAAAUAAUUUAGAGGAAAAAUUAUUACCAUGCGGAAUCACUAUGUGUCUCUACCGCACGUUAGAGAAUCAAUACAACUGGGGUAAUAAGUUUAUUUCGAUACCGCUUGGUAAGGAUGUAUUACUGGACCCCAAUGGUAAUGACUUGUCGCGUUUGUGUAAUAUUAGUAUGGAAUUUGGUAAUAAUAUUGAAAACCAACGGGGUAACGUAAUAUUACCUGAUUUAGACGAGGAUGAUAUUUCUCUGGUAUUGAACGUAACCGUACGUGGAAGAAAAUUGUACGCAUUGGGUUACAGUUACAACAUUUUUUUAUUUUCAUAAUAAAAUGCAAAUAUUUAGUACAAAAAAUUUCAACGCUACUACAUAUGUAUGUACAUACUAUGUACGCACGUAAUAAGUUACACAUUCUUGUAAUUAAUAAAAAGUAUUAUAUAUAAUGUCGUUAUACUAAAAAUAAACCGAUCUUAACAUUACUACA